AGAACAGCCUGGUAAGUUGAGAAAAUGACAUCACUUUAGUGUAGUACAGCCUGUGAAACCAGGAGAAGACACCAGUUAUGUCCAUAUCAUCUUAGAUUUUGGAUAU